UACGAGAGGCCCAAACGUUAUUCGGAAUUACUGGGCUUAAAGAGUUCGUAGGCGGCAUGACAAGUAGGGUGUGAAAGCCCUCGGCUCAACCGAGGAAUUGCGCUCUAAACUGUCGUGCUUGAGGACCUAGAGGUGAGCAGAACAGAUGGUGGAGCGGUGAAAUGCGUUGAUAUCAUCUGGAAUACCGGAGGCGAAGGCGGCUCACUGGGAGUUUUCUGACGCGUGAGGAGCGA
rnacentral:rRNA from 1 species